GCAGAGAGACAGGCGGAGAAGAUCUCAAGAGCAAGAACUGAAGAUUCACAUAUUUUCCCUACGAUUUAUUUGUUGAAUGUUUAUUUUAAUUCUUGAUGGUGUUGAGUAGAGGAGGAGGAAAAAACGCCAUCUUAGCUGCUUUCCUUGCUUGUUCAAUCUGUUUGACUGAGUUUGUUCAUCCCAAUUUCUCAUGAAGUAUUUCCAAGCAUCAAAGCAAUGCUUCUUCUGAUCGAGCUUAGUAGCUAGAAACCAUUUGGUGAAGAUUUCCUUCACUCUGAUCCACCAGUCGCUUAUCUCUCUUGGAACCCAAGUGUCAGGGUUCUUCAGUUGGUUCCCAUGAAUGUGGGAUAUCAAGAACCCUCAGUUCCGAUAAGCUUGAAGCUCUUGAAAUGGCUUCAGUGUGAAUGGAGAGGCAGGCGAGCCAAGUUCCAGUCGUCUCCUUGGCUGAGAAAAAUUAACACCAUCAUCACUCCUUGGCCUUUUCUUCAGUAGAUCUUGAACUUUUGAUUUGUAGGCUGAAGCAGUAGUAGCAGCUGCAGUUUUUCUUUACUGUAAUCAACUACCCAUCGGCCGUCAGCAAACUUCUCUACUGUUCCAUCAGUUGAUGCAUUACAUAUUGAUUAUAUGUUGACUGCAUUGCUAAUUCAUCAGCUCAUUGAUCAGCUGACCACACAAUUGACUACACACGCUGACUAACUCUACUGAUUCUUAGAUAAUUGAU
rnacentral:lncRNA from 1 species